UACGUAUGGGGCGAGCGUUGUUCGGAAUUAUUGGGCGUAAAGGGCGUGUAGGCGGGAUGUUAAGUCGAGUGUGAAAUCCGCGGGCUCAACCCGCGAACUGCGCUUGAUACUGGUGUCCUUGAGUAAGGGAGAGGAGAGUGGAAUUCUCGGUGUAGCGGUGAAAUGCCUAGAUAUCGGGAAGAACACCGGUGGCGAAGGCGACUCUCUGGCCCAUUACUGACGCUGAUGCGCGAAAGCUAGGGGAGCAAACGGG
rnacentral:rRNA from 1 species